rnacentral:rRNA from 1 species
GACGAACGCUGGCGGCGUGCUUAACACAUGCCAGUCGAACGGAAAGGCCCUGCUUUUGUGGGGUGCUCGAGUGGCGAACGGGUGAGUAACACGUGAGUAACCUGCCCUUGACUUUGGGAUAACUUCAGGAAACUGGGGCUAAUACCGGAUAGGAGCUCCUGCUGCAUGGUGGGGGUUGGAAAGUUUCGGCGGUUGGGGAUGGACUCGCGGCUUAUCAGCUUGUUGGUGGGGUAGUGUCUUACCAAGGCUUUGACGGGUAGCCGGCCUGAGAGGGUGACCGGCCACAUUGGGACUGAGAUACGGCCCAGACUCCUACGGGAGGCAGCAGUGGGGAAUAUUGCACAAUGGGCGGAAGCCUGAUGCAGCAACGCCGCGUGCGGGAUGACGGCCUUCGGGUUGUAAACCGCUUUCGCCUGUGACGAAGCGUGAGUGACGGUAAUGGGUAAAGAAGCACCGGCUAACUACGUG